UGCAAGUCGAGCGGUAACAGGAAGAAAGCUUGCUUUUUUGCUGACGAGCGGCGGACGGGUGAGUAAUGCCUGGGAAAUUGCCCUGAUGUGGGGGAUAACCAUUGGAAACGAUGGCUAAUACCGCAUGAUGCCCUUGCUUAUAAUGAGCAGGGGCCAAAGAGGGGGACCUUCGGGCCUCUCGCGUCAGGAUAUGCCCAGGUGGGAUUAGCUAGUUGGUGAGGUAAUGGCUCACCAAGGCGACGAUCCCUAGCUGGUCUGAGAGGAUGAUCAGCCACACUGGAACUGAGACACGGUCCAGACUCCUACGGGAGGCAGCAGUGGGGAAUAUUGCACAAUGGGCGCAAGCCUGAUGCAGCCAUGCCGCGUGUAUGAAGAAGGCCUUCGGGUUGUAAAGUACUUUCAGUCGUGAGGAAGGGGGUAUCGUUAAUAGCGGUAUUCUUUGACGUUAGCGACAGAAGAAGCACCGGCUAACUCCGUGCCAGCAGCCGCGGUAAUACGGAGGGUGCGAGCGUUAAUCGGAAUUACUGGGCGUAAAGCGCAUGCAGGUGGUUUGUUAAGUCAGAUGUGAAAGCCCGGGGCUCAACCUCGGAGUUGCAUUUGAAACUGGCAGGCUAGAGUACUGUAGAGGGGGGUAGAAUUUCAGGUGUAGCGGUGAAAUGCGUAGAGAUCUGAAGGAAUACCGGUGGCGAAGGCGGCCCCCUGGACAGAUACUGACACUCAGAUGCGAAAGCGUGGGGAGCAAACAGGAUUAGAUACCCUGGUAGUCCACGCCGUAAACGAUGUCUACUUGGAGGUUGUGGCCUUGAGCCGUGGCUUUCGGAGCUAACGCGUUAAGUAGACCGCCUGGGGAGUACGGUCGCAAGAUUAAAACUCAAAUGAAUUGACGGGGGCCCGCACAAGCGGUGGAGCAUGUGGUUUAAUUCGAUGCAACGCGAAGAACCUUACCUACUCUUGACAUCUACAGAAUCCUGCGGAGACGCGGGAGUGCCUUCGGGAACUGUAAGACAGGUGCUGCAUGGCUGUCGUCAGCUCGUGUUGUGAAAUGUUGGGUUAAGUCCCGCAACGAGCGCAACCCUUAUCCUUGUUUGCCAGCACUAAUGGUGGGAACUCCAGGGAGACUGCCGGUGAUAAACCGGAGGAAGGUGGGGACGACGUCAAGUCAUCAUGGCCCUUACGAGUAGGGCUACACACGUGCUACAAUGGCGCAUACAGAGGGCGCAAGCUAGCGAUAGUGAGCGAAUCCCAAAAAGUGCGUCGUAGUCCGGAUUGGAGUCUGCAACUCGACUCCAUGAAGUCGGAAUCGCUAGUAAUCGUGGAUCAGAAUGCCACGGUGAAUACGUUCCCGGGCCUUGUACACACCGCCCGUCACACCAUGGGAGUGGGCUGCUAAAAGAAGCAGGUAGUUUAACCUUCGGGAGGACGCUGCC
rnacentral:rRNA from 1 species